rnacentral:rRNA from 1 species
AUUGAACGCUGGCGGCAGGCCUAACACAUGCAAGUCGAACGGAUGAAGGCAGCUUGUUCCUGGAUUCAGCGGCGGACGGGUGAGUAAUGCCUGGGAGUCUGCUUGGCUGUGGUUGAUAACAUCCUGAAACGAGCGCUAAUAAUGCAGGCUACGUGAGGGUGAAAGUGGGGGAUGUUCGGAACGCACGCUCUCAGGGGAGCCUAGGCCGGAUUAGCUAGUUGGUGGGUUAAAGGCCUACUAAGGCGAGGAUCCGUAUCUGGUCGGAGAGGCUGAUCGGUCACACUGGAAGUGAGACACGGUCCAUACUACUACGGGACGGAGCAGUGUGGUAUAGGAGACAACGGUCGAAAGUAUUAUCCAGCCAUGGGGAGUGUGUGAAGAAGGUCUUCGGAUUGUAAAGCACGCUAAGUUGGGAUGAAGCGCAGUAAGUUAAUACCUUGCUGUUUCGACGGUACCAACAGAAUAAGCACCGGCUAACUUCGUG